rnacentral:tRNA from 1 species
UCCCCGGUAGCGCAGAUGGCAGAGCGCCUGGCUGUUAACCAGGAGGUCCGUGGUUCGAAGCCACGUCGGGGAGCCA